CUUGAACGCUGGCGGCAGGCCUAACACAUGCAAGUCGAGCGAGCGGCGGACGGGUGAGUAAUGUCUGGGAAACUGCCUGAUGGAGGGGGAUAACUACUGGAAACGGUAGCUAAUAUCGCAUACCAUCAGAUGUGCCCAGAUGGGAGUAGCUAGUAGGUGGGGUAAAGUCUCACCUAGGCGACGAUCCCUAGCUGGGCUGAGAGGAUGACCAGCCACACUGGAACUUGGACACGGUCCAGAACCCUGCGUGCGUCAGCCGUGGGGAAUAGUGCACAGUGGGGUCAAGUCAUCUGCAGCCCUGCCGCGUGUGUUAAGAAGGCCUUCGGGUUGUAAAGGACUUUCGGCGGGGAGGCGUUACCCGCAGAAGAAGCACCGGCUAACUCCGUGCCAGCAGCCGCGGUAAUAC
rnacentral:rRNA from 1 species